AUUUUGCCUCAUCUUUUUGUGCACAUUUAUGUACUUGUGUACUUGUAUGUAGAUUUACAUGUGUACACACAUACACACACACCUACUUUUGAAUAGGUAAACAUGCUAUAGAUAGAAACUGUAUGCAUGAUUACUUCAUGAUGCUUCCUGUAAAAAUCAGAACAGCCUCCCAUGUAACCUAAACCACUGUUAAGUCCGGGGAAAACUGACAGUGGUUCUUAAGAUGAGACUGUCCUCCAAGCUGUCUUAAAUAUGUGUAUUUACGUAUCUAUACAGUCUUAAAUCUAGGAUUCAUUCCAGGAACACAUGCCACCUCCAUAAUGUCCCUUAACUCUGCUAGGUUAAUCCUCAUUACUGUAUUUCUCUACUCCUAUAUUGGCUUUUUAAGAUUCACAAUAUAUCAUAGAAUUUCCUACAUUCUAGGUUGGUCUUCCUUCCUUCCUUCCUUCCUUCCUUCCUUCCUUCCUUCCUUCCUUCGUAGUAUCAUUUAAUUUUUUUAUGUCCCAUAACAUUCGUAUUUAUUUUAUUUUUAUACAAAGUAUUGUAAAUAAAAAGCACAUACUAAGAUUAAGCAGAAGAAUAGAUUUAUUUCUAUACAGUUAAAAUGGGCAUUCAGAACAGAAGCUGUGGAGUUUCUAUUAGAUUUUACACUUUGACUUUCAUACACAUUUUUAUUUAUCUACCACCCAUAUCUGAACAUCCAUUCUCAUUAAAGUGACUGUUAUUCCUAAAAGAUACAUAAAUCAGAACUCACAUGACUGUUUUAGAAGUAGUGAAACUACAGGCUAGAAGAUGUCUCGGCAGAUAACAGCGUUUUUCAUUGUCAUACAAGCUUGAGGACUGAGUUCAAAUUGCUAGCACCAACAUAAAAAACUAGAUGUAGGAUCAAACCUGCUUAUCUCCAGUUUUCAGUGGGAGACCAAGUCUUAAGGGUAUAAGGCAGCCAUUGCAUACUAGAGCGGUACACCUGGUGUUCUCUGACUCCUCCCUGAGUAUGAGUAGGGACGGGGUGUGUGUGUGUGUGUGUGUGUGUGUGUGUGUGUGUGUGUGUGUGUUUAGACUGCACGUAGACCACACAAGCAUGCAUGGAAGUAGUGAGACUAAUUUUUCAGGCUUAUUUCAGAAACUGCACAUACAAAUAAACUUGGUUAACCUUGCAGUUUCUGCUGGUGUGUAUAACCAAUUAGUCUGUGGUUGCUGAGGCCAGAAGAGGGCACUGCAGUUUUGUUUUAAGAAACUGUUAAAAACAAUUAGCUGCUUUCCUCUAUUACCACCAUAGUAAGCUUUUCUCAGUGAUUCACACACCCAUUCAGGGUGGGUAGCUUCGAGGUAAUUCCAUAAGUGCUAUAGUGUAGAAGGGCUAUAUUUUCAGUUACACACAUUUGGUUCAAGCACAGUUUUAAGUUAGAAACAUGCAAGAUCAACAGUAAACACUAAUAGGUUGUUGUGAAUCAGAAUCCAAGUUCUAUUUCAUUUGGUUAAUGGAUUUUAUAGAUGGGUUCUUUAUCAUAGACCAUUGUGUAUCUUAAAGAUAAACAUGAUAGAUACUGGAGAUAGUAUAUGUAUCUGCAAGGUAGGUCACAUCCCAGAUGGAAAAUUUAUAUAAAACAUAUAUAAGAUAUGGCUACUAUUUCUCCAAACCAAAAUUAGUGAAAAACUAAUGAACACAUUCAAAGGAGUUGCUAAAACUGAAGAAGUAAACAGAUACAACUAUAUUUGCUUUUAAGAGGCUUCUUAAUAGCAUAUUCACACAUAUAAUUGCAUCGUACAAGUUAAAAUCAUGUCAUUAACUUUCAUUAUAAAUGUCUCAGUUGUCAUAAGGAUUUCUUGAAAAGGAAGUGCUUGAUGGUAGUGAUAGCAUUUUGACUUGAGAUAUAAAUGAGGCAUUGAAUAUAUAUGUAUAUACACACACAUGCAUGCAUACAUAUAUCCUUAAAUGGAAAUUUCAGUUUCUUGUAGAAAUUCCGAGGACUAUCACAUAGAUACAGCUUUUCUUAAGUGAGCAUUCUGGUCAGUAGAUGAUCUUGGGCAGCUCUGUGGUUCAUCCGAGACCAGCCUUCUCCUUGUUGGAGAUUUACCUACAGAGUCAGUGCUAGCUUCACUUCCCCUCUCCUGUCUGACAUGCCCAGCCACUCGGGACACAACCUGUACUGAUGUAGAUGAGGACGGAGAGUGGGACAGUGCUGCCGCACUGGGCUUGCAUGGUUCUAGCACGGCUGUGAGAACUUCCCUUCUGGACAUGCUUUGGGUAGACUGAAGCUGUCAGCAAGCCAGGGAGCCUUCUCCCAUGAGCUUACCCUUGCCAGAGCAUAUGCUCUCUGUCAGAAGUGCUGUCCUUUGUAGUCAUUCCUGUUUAUUGGUUCUGAGCUGGCAGUAAUCGUCAUACCCAGCCUUGCAGUGCUGGGGCAUACUUGAAUAACCAAAGAAGAAAGGUAGCAUGAGACUGAGGAUUUACUGUUCUCGGGGUUCCAGUGCGGAGUGUGAAAUUUUGGUCCUCAAGCAAAAUGGAGGCAGUGCAUCCUCUCGUUGACUCUGUUGUGUCUUCUCGUUGGCCAUCACACUGCUCAGAUACUACAGCACUGGGACAUUGUAAUUUUUGUCCUUGGUGCUGAUUAAGAAUGUCUUGAAAAUAUUCUAGAUGAAAUAAAAGGUCACCAUCCUAAAUGGUGAAGAAAAUGCCAUUCUGCCCCGUUUAGUUGCAAGUUAGCCUUCCAGAAUGUCAGCUACUAUGUUGAUUUAUUUAAUGAUAGCGAUUAUGUGAUUUAUUUAAUGUAAGCUACUAUGUUGAUUGUUCUGAUGAACUUAUUUUUAGUGUUAUUUGUGUCACACACAAUAAUCAUACAAAAUACUGGGGUUCUGUUGUGACAUUGUCAUACUUGCAUGUUUGUACCUUGGUCAUAAUCAUUCUCUAUUACCUACCCCCUCCCACUGCUCCGCCAGGAACUCUUAUCAAUGUUCUUGUAAUAUUUUUUUAUUUAUUUUUUUAUUUUUAUAGGAACAUAGAAUAAUUCUAAGGAUAAAGAAUAUACUUGACUUUAGGAGAUUAGAUAUUGUUGGUAUUUUUUUCAAUUUUCUGUUAUAAUGGAGCUAAAGAUAAAGGUAUAAUGGCUUACUUCAAGUACAGAAUAUGCGUGCGUGUGUGUGUGUGUGUGUGUGUGUGUGUGUGUGUGUAUUUUCUCUUGGUAAGCUAUUGAUUUGGGGAAGAAGAUUUUUUUUUUGAACAUUGUAACAUAGACUGGCCUUGAACUUGUUCCCCAUCAUUUUAUCUCUAGACCAGCCUUUUUUUUUUCCUGUCUCAUUAUAAAGUUUUUCAGAAAUAGCCCCAGAAUGAAUGAAAUACUCAUGGGUGUUUUUUUUUUCCUUCAAUGGCGAAAUACUUCUCUGUGUCACAGUAAAUACUGACUUUAUAUCAGUUUCUUUUUUCUUUACUUUAAAAACAACUCAUACUCCAAUAAAACUUAGAUAUUUUAACAUCAU
rnacentral:lncRNA from 1 species